CCGCGAGCCGCCGACCAGGCCUCGAACGGGAUGGCAGAGGAGGUGAGCACCCUGAUGAAGGCCACGGUCCUGAUGCGGCAGCCUGGGCGGGUGCAGGAGAUCGUGGGCGCCCUCCGCAAGGGCGGCGGAGACCGGUUACAGGUACCUCUGGGGCGUGCGGGGGCCGGCCGGGCUGGGGGCGGCUGGAGAGGCUUCCUGCCCAUUGGGCCUUCCCGCUUUGCUCUGCCGCGGACCCCUCCUAGCUCUCUGCCCCAAGAAAUGGCCGGGAGCUUGAAGGAGAGCGGGUUGGUUCGCCUGUCCUAAAACCCAAAUUUCAGAUUUCUCAAUAUGGUCAUGCUGCUUCCUCUAAUUGGACAGAAGGCGCCCACACCAGUACCUAGGGCCUUAUCCUCCCCAAGCCAGCGGCUCCCCAGUGAUUUCUGAUUUUGACAUGACCUUGAGCAGGUUUGCAUAUAAUGGAAAACGAUGCCCUUCUUCUUACAAUAUUCUGGAUAAUAGCAAGAUCAUCAGUGAGGAGUGUCGGAAAGAGUAGAGACAGGGUUUCGCCAUGUUGGCCAGGCCGGACUUGAACUCCUGACCUCAAGUGAUCCACCUGCCUCAGCCUCCUAAAGCACUGGGAUUGCAGCUCACAGCGCUCCUUCACCACUAUUACCCAAUUGAGAUCGACCCACACCGGACCGUCAAGGAGAAGCUACCUCAUAUGGUGGAAUGGUGGACCAAAGCGCACAAUCUCCUAUGUCAGCAGAAGAUUCAGAAGUUUCAGAUAGCCCAGGUGGUUAGAGAGUCCAAUGCAAUGCUCAGGGAGGGAUAUAAGACCUUCUUCAACACACUCUACCAUAACAACAUUCCCCUUUUCAUCUUUUCUGCGGGCAUUGGUGAUAUCCUGGAAGAAAUUAUCCGACAGAUGAAAGUGUUCCACCCCAACAUCCACAUCGUGUCUAACUACAUGGAUUUUAAUGAAGAU
rnacentral:sRNA from 1 species